GUGCUUGCUUCAGUAGCACAUGUACUAAAAUUGGAACAAUUCAGAGAAGAUUAGCUUGACUCCUGCUCAAGGAUGACAUGCAAAUGCAUGAAGUGUUCCAGACCUUU
rnacentral:snRNA from 1 species